CCUCACAAUAGACUAACAACAGUGUGGUUCAAAUUCGUCUUUUGCGAGAAUUGAACCUAAGACUUUUCACUUACAAAUGAAGAGGAAUACCAUGAAACUAUAGUACUAAUGACGUGUUUACUAAUCCGUAAUCAAAUUGAGAGGAAUUGAAUUGAGGAGGAAUAGAAAUGAGGUGAAAUCAGAAUCAAAUUCUUUUUGAAGUUGUUUACUAAAACUAUCUAGAAUCGGAUUAGGAAUGACAUUAAUGUAUAUAACUGUUUACUAAUUCACAUGAAUCGGAAUGAAAACUACUAUGAUUACUAAAAUACCCCUAGUUUAAUUAAUCUAUUUUAUAUACUAAUUAUUAUUAUUUUUUUUUAGAAAAGAGAACCAUUUUUAUUUUUUAUUUUUUUUGGUAAAACUUUUAUUAUUUUAUUUUUGGAUAUUUUUAGUGGAAUUCUCGUGCUUUUAACUUAGAACACACUGUCCUGUGUCUUCAUCCAAAUUGGCAUUAUCUAGAACCCGCAACCCCGAGAGUUCACCUCCUACCGCUUCUUCUUCGGAGAGAUCACCUCCUACCGCGGAAUUCUCGUGCUCAUAGCCUCAUCCUGGCGGAGAGAUCACCGUCUACCGUUUCUUCUUCAAUGACGUGCGGGCGUCGAAGCCUGUGCCUCAGCGUGGGACUCCGCAACCCCAAGCUCCAAUUCGGGUCUUUCUCACCUGAACCCGCUCCUCUCCCUCGGCCUCUCUGGAGGACAUGGAGAAUUUUGAGGUGGUGGAGCGAGAAGAGGCGGCGGAGCAGUAGAGAGCUGGUAGAGAAGAUGACGGAGGACAACGAGAAGAUGGAAAGGAGUACUGAAGGUGCAGGGCAUUUUGGGAAGGAAAAUUUGAUUCCAUAUGGAGCCUUCUCCUUGGAAUCCAAAUACUACCUUCUUCUAGGUAAUCCAAUUCCGACAAUAUCAAGAGAUGAAUUCCUAGUUUUAUGUGGGGCCUGCAGAACUGUUUAUUCCGCUUAAGUUGGUAAACAGAGGAAUAAUUAGGAAUGGGGAAUGAUUCCCAUUCUGCCAUAUCCUUUCCCCAUAUGUAAACACGCCAUAAGAGCUGUUCCAGCGUGUGAAACCUCCCCCCAGGCAAUACACUAUGCUAUCCACCCAGUGAACAGUAACUGCCCUUAAUGAACAGUAAUCACCUUUUGCA